CCUACGGGGGGCAGCAGUGGGGAAUAUUGGACAAUGGGGGCAACCCUGAUCCAGCCAUGCCGCGUGUUUGAAGAAGGCCCUCGGGUUGUAAAGCACUUUCAGUGAGGAAGAACGCCUGGUGGUUAAUACCCAUCAGGAAAGACAUCACUCACAGAAGAAGCACCGGCUAACUCCGUGCCAGCAGCCGCGGUAAUACGGAGGGUGCGAGCGUUAAUCGGAAUUACUGGGCGUAAAGCGCGCGUAGGUGGCUUGAUAAGCCGGUUGUGAAAGCCCCGGGCUCAACCUGGGAACGGCAUCCGGAACUGUCAAGCUAGAGUGCAGGAGAGGAAGGUAGAAUUCCCGGUGUAGCGGUGAAAUGCGUAGAGAUCGGGAGGAAUACCAGUGGCGAAGGCGGCCUUCUGGACUGACACUGACACUGAGGUGCGAAAGCGUGGGUAGCAAACAGGAUUAGAUACCCUAGUAGUC
rnacentral:rRNA from 1 species